AUAAACAUUUGAGUGAGUGGCGGACGGGUGAGUAACACGUGGGUAACCUGCCCUAAAGUGGGGGAUAACAUUUGGAAACAGAUGCUAAUACCGCAUAAAACCUAACACCGCAUGGUGUAGGGUUGAAAGAUGGUUUCGGCUAUCACUUUAGGAUGGACCCGCGGUGCAUUAGUUAGUUGGUGAGGUAAAGGCUCACCAAGACCGUGAUGCAUAGCCGACCUGAGAGGGUAAUCGGCCACACUGGGACUGAGACACGGCCCAGACUCCUACGGGAGGCAGCAGUAGGGAAUCUUCCACAAUGGACGAAAGUCUGAUGGAGCAACGCCGCGUGAGUGAAGAAGGUUUUCGGAUCGUAAAACUCUGUUGUUGGAGAAGAAUGUAUCUGAUAGUAACUGAUCAGGUAGUGACGGUAUCCAACCAGAAAGCCACGGCUAACUACGUGCCAGCAGCCGCGGUAAUACGUAGGUGGCAAGCGUUGUCCGGAUUUAUUGGGCGUAAAGCGAGCGCAGGCGGUUUCUUAAGUCUGAUGUGAAAGCCUUCGGCUCAACCGAAGAAGUGCAUCGGAAACUGGGAAACUUGAGUGCAGAAGAGGACAGUGGAACUCCAUGUGUAGCGGUGAAAUGCGUAGAUAUAUGGAAGAACACCAGUGGCGAAGGCGGCUGUCUGGUCUGUAACUGACGCUGAGGCUCGAAAGCAUGGGUAGCAAACAGGAUUAGAUACCCUGGUAGUCCAUGCCGUAAACGAUGAGUGCUAGGUGUUGGAGGGUUUCCGCCCUUCAGUGCCGCAGCUAACGCAUUAAGCACUCCGCCUGGGGAGUACGACCGCAAGGUUGAAACUCAAAGGAAUUGACGGGGGCCCGCACAAGCGGUGGAGCAUGUGGUUUAAUUCGAAGCAACGCGAAGAACCUUACCAGGUCUUGACAUCCUUUGACCACUCUAGAGAUAGAGCUUUCCCUUCGGGGACAAAGUGACAGGUGGUGCAUGGUUGUCGUCAGCUCGUGUCGUGAGAUGUUGGGUUAAGUCCCGCAACGAGCCCACCCUUAUUACUAGUUGCCAGCAUUUAGUUGGGCACUCUAAUGAGACUGCCGGGAACAACCGGAGGAAGGUGGGGACGACGUCAAUCUUCUGCCCCUUAUGACCGGGCUACCCCCU
rnacentral:rRNA from 1 species